rnacentral:rRNA from 1 species
UCCUACGGGAGGCAGCAGUGGGGAAUUUUUCGCAAUGGGGGCAAGCCUGACGAAGCAACGCCGCGUGGAGGAUGAAGAUCUUCGGGUCGUAAACUCCUGUCGACCGGGAAGAAUGCCGUUCGGGGGAACAAUCCGGGCGGGUGACGGUACCGGUGGAGGAAGCCCCGGCUAACUCCGUGCCAGCAGCCGCGGUAAUACGGGGGGGGCAAGCGUUGUUCGGAAUUACUGGGCGUAAAGGGCUCGUAGGCGGCCAACUCAGUCGGACGUGAAAUCCCUCGGCUUAACCGGGGAACUGCGUCCGAUACUGGAUGGCUUGAGUUCGGGAGAGGGAUGCGGAAUUCCAGGUGUAGCGGUGAAAUGCGUAGAUAUCUGGAGGAACACCGGUGGCGAAGGCGGCAUCCUGGACCGACACUGACGCUGAGGAGCGAAAGCCAGGGGAGCAAACGGGAUUAGAUACCCCGGUAGUCCUGGCCCUAAACGAUGAAUGCUUGGUGUGGCGGGUAUCGAUCCCUUUCCGUUCCGAAGCCAAACCA